GUGGGGAAUCUUAGACAAUGGGGGAAACCCUGAUCUAGCCAUGCCGCGUGAGCGAUGAAGGCCUUAGGGUUGUAAAGCUCUUUCAGCUGGGAAGAUAAUGACGGUACCAGCAGAAGAAGCCCCGGCUAACUCCGUGCCAGCAGCCGCGGUAAUACGGAGGGGGCUAGCGUUGUUCGGAAUUACUGGGCGUAAAGCGCGCGUAGGCGGACCAGAAAGUUGGAGGUGAAAUCCCAGGGCUCAACCUUGGAACUGCCUUCAAAACUCCUGGUCUGGAGUUCGAGAGAGGUGAGUGGAAUUCCGAGUGUAGAGGUGAAAUUCGUAGAUAUUCGGAGGAACACCAGUGGCGAAGGCGGCUCACUGGCUCGAUACUGACGCUGAGGUGCGAUAGCGUGGGGAGCAAACAGGAUUAGAAACCCCGGUAGUCC
rnacentral:rRNA from 1 species